AUGAUUUCAUAAGCUAAUUUUAUCACGUUUGAUUAUAGGUUUUUCAAGGCAAGAUGGAUAUCGAAGAGGAGAUUAUCGCGUAAAAAGAAGGUAAUUAGGGUUCUUAGACACCAACAACUUGUACAAAUUCCAUCUUCUGAAGUAGUGGUUGGUGAUAUUGUGUUGUUGGAAAGUGGUGAUCAUGUCCCUGCUGAUGGAAUUUUAAUUCAAGGUAACUCGUACAAGUUCGAUGAUGGUAGUACUAGUCAUCAUGAUUUAGUAUUACCACGCGAACAAUUGCAUCAUGUUUUGUUUAAUCGUACAAAAUUAGUGGAAGGAAGUUGUCAGUUACUAGUAACUGCAGUUGGUGAAAAUAAAGAGAGAAUCAAGUUGAUGAAGUGUGUAACAAGUUUCCAAAAUAAUGGUCAUGAUCAGUGUUACUCAAAGAUUCAAAAAUCGAUUGAUGAAAUGAGCUCAUUCUUGGAUAAAUUAUCCUUGAGUCUCUCUUUGAUCAUUCUUGUAGUUGAAGUUUUUCGAUGUUUCUUGUGGAACAAGUCAUGGUGUUGUGAUAAAGAUCGCGAUCCUAAAGGUGUGAAGAACUCGAUGGAGGAGAUAAUGAACGAGGCCACGAAAUACAUGAGGAGGAAGAGAGGUGAAAAUUAUGGUACCAAUAAGGUUAAUGGCUUUGUAGCUAUGGUUUGUAUUUUGGUGUUUUCAUUAAAAGAUGGAUUAUCUUUAGGGAUGUUUAUUGUUCUUCUAUAUGCAUCUAAAGAUGUGAAAAAGAAUGAUCAAAUCAUAGUUCAUAAUCUUCCAUCUUGUGCUAAUGGAGCUCUUGUUACCACUUUGUGCCUUGGUAAAACAUCUCAUUUUGUUGUGAAUCAUUCAACUUUGGUGGAUUUAUGGAUUGGCUUCGAGAAAAUCAAUGACUUAUCUGUAUUCAGUGGCGGAGCUAGAGAUUUUAAUGAGGAAGUCCGGAAUACAUUACUUGAAGGAGUUUUUAUGAAUAUUAUUGGUCAUGUUGAUGAGGAUGCACUUCUUAUUUGGGCUGAGAAAUUGUUUGGUGAAAAUAUUGAACAAUUUCAUGGAAGUUGUAGCAUUUUAAACCUUGAAAAUUAUUAUCCUAACAAAGGAUUAUGUGGGGUGUUAUUAAAAAGAAACAAAAAAGAAAUUGGAGAAUUUUUGCAUGUACAUUGGAAAGGAGAACCAAAGUUAGUGUUAUCCAUGUGUUCUAACUAUUAUGAUAUUAAUAAUGGUACCAUGCAAACCCUAGAUGAAGAAAAAAGGGAGUUGUUCAAUCGAAAAAUCGCGAGUAUUAUAGUAUCUAAUGGAGUUCAUUGCUAUGGUUUCGCUUAUAAACAAGUUAUAAGAUCAUUGCUAGAAGAAGAAGAGAAGGAAAAUGGUACUAUUAUCGCGAAAGAUGGGUUGAGUUUCUUAGGGAUCGUGGUAUUAAAAAAUCCGUAUUCAUCUGAGUUGAGACGAACGAUUGAAGUGUGUCGAAAAUCUGGGAUUGAGAUCAAGUUAAUGGUGGAUGAUGACUUGAAUACAUCAAGAUUAAUGGCUAUUAAUUCUGGAAUAUUAAGAAUUGAAGAGGAUUUACAAGGAUCUAUAAUUGAAGCUAUUGAAUUUAGAAAAAGUCCAAAAGAAGCUCAAAUUAAUAUGUGUCACAAAAUUAAAGUAAUGGCCAAUUGUUCUCCAGCUGAUAAAUUACUAUUGGUUAAUUGCUUGAAAAAGAGAGGUGGACACGUGGCGGCAACCGGUUCGUCUAUUAGAGAUUUACCAUCUCUAAAAGAAGCUGAUGUUGGAAUUUUUUUUGGGGAAAAUUGUGCAGACUUAGCUAAAGAAGAUGUUGAUAUUACUAUCGUUGACUCGAACUUUGGUAAGAUCCUAGCCAUAUUAAUCUUGGCCAAGUAUGUAUGCAUAAGUCUUGAGAAGUUCAUACAAUUGCAAUUGAUACUCAAUAUUUCUGCCUUCACUUCAAACUUUAUUAUUUUAUUUUUCAACCCCACAAGUGAUGAUCAAGAUCAUCAAUUGACACCAUUUCAAUUGUUGUGGGUAAAUCUACUUAUAGAAGUUUUUGGUGCCCUUUUUUUGUCCAUCAUAACAUCAACCAUAAAGCCUCGUGAGUCUAGUUCAGUUGAUCAAAUCACGUUGAAUUAUUAUGGCACUGGUGCACCUAUGGUAACCAACAACAUGUUAAGGAACAUAGUUGUUCAUUCUAUGUUACAAGUUACACUUCUAUUGAUGCUUACCAUGAAGGGAAAAGCAUUUUUUCGCGUCAACGAGGCAUUGUUGAGUACCAUGAUCUUCAAUAUUUAUGUAUUAUGCCAAGUUUUUUUAUUGAUCAUUAGUGCCAUUGAGAUGAUCACAAAGACAAGAAUCUCCAAAGGGAGAAAAUGGUUAUUGUUUAUGGUUAGUUGUGUAAUUAUAGGAUUAUUAUUAUUUUACAAGUUAUAUUAUUUCAGAUUAUGUCAAAAAUUGAUCAUUGGAAAAAAUUAGGAGUUAAACAAUGGUCCAUUUGUAUAGGAAUUGCAGCUAUAUCUUUGCCUAUACACUAUGCUGCAAAAAUGAUUUCUAGUCCAUGUAAAGAUUCUUAAUUUUACUUAGGAAUUGUAUUUAUGUAUUUAUUACUUGUAAAAACUAUGUAUAGAAAUUUGUAAUUAGGUACUAAUUACUACCCAAUAUUCUUGUCU